rnacentral:ncRNA from 2 species
AUGUUAUAAAGAAAGGCAGAGGGAUUAGACCCGAUGAAGCCUUAGCAACCCUUCGAUUUAUCGAAGAAGGUGCUGCAUUCUACCACAUCAUAAUGUGGAAAGAUAACAC